AUGAUUUCUAUUUAAACAACAUAAGCUGCAAACCCUGAACAAUCAUUGGUUUUAUUUUGUAAGAAUAAGGAUUUGUUAAAUGAUGUGACACAGACUGGAAUGCUGCAACAAACAAGCUUAUGUGAACUUUAUACAGAUUUAGAAAGUGAGAAAGGACAAACCAUAGUGUUACAUUCACCUGUUGUUAACCAUGCCGAGGGAUUUGACAGAUAUAAAUCUGAUGAGUUACCACAUGAAGCAGGUUUUGACGCGUAUAUGUGCGGAGUUGUAUUUCUGAGAGUUGGACAUAUACUGACAUUCAAAGAUAAUAAGUAAGUUAACCUUUUGAGCAUGAACGGGAUUUAAAUUUAAAUGAGCCACGCCAUGACAAAACCAUCAUAGUAUGUUUGCGACCAGCAUGGAUCCAGACCAGCCAGGGCAUCCGUGCAGUCUGAUCAGGAUCCAUGCUGUUCGCUUACAAACCCUAUUACUAGUAGAGAAACUGAUAGCGAACAGCAUGGAUCCUGAUCAGACUGCGUGGAGGUGCA